CACGUAGGGUGCGAGCGUUGUCCGGAAUUAUUGGGCGUAAAGAGCUCGUAGGCGGUGUGUCGCGUCGGCCGUGAAAACCUGCAGCUUAACUGUGGGCUUGCGGUCGAUACGGGCAUCACUGGAGUUCGGCAGAGGAGACUGGAAUUCCUGGUGUAGCGGUGAAAUGCGCAGAUAUCAGGAGGAACACCGGUGGCGAAGGCGGGUCUCUGGGCCGAUACUGACGCUGAGGAGCGAAAGCGUGGGGAGCGAACAGG
rnacentral:rRNA from 1 species